rnacentral:rRNA from 1 species
AUUGAACGCUGGCGGCAGGCCUAACACAUGCAAGUCGAGCGAGCGGCGGACGGGUGAGUAAUGUCUGGGAAACUGCCUGAUGGAGGGGGAUAACUACUGGAAACGGUAGCUAAUACCGCAUACCAUCGGAUGAGCCCAGAUGGGAUUAGCUAGUAGGUGGGGUAAUGGCUCACCAAGGCGACGCUCCCUAGCGGGUCUGAGAGGAUGACCAGCCACACUGGAACUGAGACACGGUCCAGACUCCUACGGGAGGCAGCAGUGGGGAAUAUUGCACAAUGGGCGCAAGCCUGAUGCAGCCAUGCCGCGUGUAUGAAGAAGGCCUUCGGGUUGUAAAGUACUUUCAGCGAGGAGGCGUUACUCGCAGAAGAAGCACCGGCUAACUCCGUGCCAGCCGCCGCGGUAAUAC